GACGAACGCUGGCGGCGUGCUUAACACAUGCAAGUCGAACGCUGAAGCUUGGUGCUUGCACUGGGUGGAUGAGUGGCGAACGGGUGAGUAAUACGUGAGUAACCUGCCCUUGACUCUGGGAUAAGCCUGGGAAACUGGGUCUAAUACUGGAUACGACAUGUCACCGCAUGGUGGUGUGUGGAAAGGGUUUUACUGGUUUUGGAUGGGCUCACGGCCUAUCAGCUUGUUGGUGGGGUAAUGGCUCACCAAGGCGACGACGGGUAGCCGGCCUGAGAGGGUGACCGGCCACCCUGGGCCUGAGACACGGCCCAGACUCCUACGGGAGGCAGCAGUGGGGAAUAUUGCACAAUGGGCGGAAGCCUGAUGCAGCGACGCCGCGUGCGGGAUGACGGCCUUCGGGUUGUAAACCUCUUUCAGCACGGAAGAAGCGAAAGUGACGGUACGUGCAGAAGAAGCGCCGGCUAACUACGUG
rnacentral:rRNA from 1 species